rnacentral:rRNA from 1 species
ACGAAGGGGGCUAGCGUUGUUCGGAAUCACUGGGCGUAAAGGGCGCGUAGGCGGCCUGACAAGUCGGGGGUGAAAGCCCGUGGCUCAACCACGGAAUGGCCUUCGAUACUGUCGGGCUGGAGACUGGAAGAGGUUGGUGGAACUGCGAGUGUAGAGGUGAAAUUCGUAGAUAUUCGCAAGAACACCGGUGGCGAAGGCGGCCAACUGGUCCGGUUCUGACGCUGAGGCGCGAAAGCGUGGGGAGCAAACAGGA